UAGGGAAUCUUCCACAAUGGACGAAAGUCUGAUGGAGCAACGCCGCGUGAGUGAAGAAGGUUUUCGGAUCGUAAAGCUCUGUUGUUGGUGAAGAAGGAUAGAGGCAGUAACUGGUCUUUAUUUGACGGUAAUCAACCAGAAAGUCACGGCUAACUACGUGCCAGCAGCCGCGGUAAUACGUAGGUGGCAAGCGUUGUCCGGAUUUAUUGGGCGCAAAGCGAGCGCAGGCGGAAUGAUAAGUCUGAUGUGAAAGCCCACGGCUCAACCGUGGAACUGCAUCGGAAACUGUCAUUCUUGAGUGCAGAAGAGGAGAGUGGAACUCCAUGUGUAGCGGUGGAAUGCGUAGAUAUAUGGAAGAACACCAGUGGCGAAGGCGGCUCUCUGGUCUGCAACUGACGCUGAGGCUCGAAAGCAUGGGUAGCGAACAGGAUUAGAUACCCUGGUAGUCCAUGCCGUAAACGAUGAGCGCUAGGUGUUGGGGACUUUCCGGUCCUCAGUGCCGCAGCAAACGCAUUAAGCGCUCCGCCUGGGGAGUACGACCGCAAGGUUGAAAC
rnacentral:rRNA from 1 species